UGGGGAAUCUUCCACAGUGGGCGAAAGCCUGAUGGAGCAACGCCGCGUGUGUGAUGAAGGGUUUCGGCUCGUAAACACUGUUGUAAGAGAAGAAUGACAUUGAGAGUAACUGUUCAAUGUGUGACGGUAUCUUACCAGAAAGGAACGGCUAAAUACGUGCCAG
rnacentral:rRNA from 1 species